GGGAUACCCGCUAGAAGGGAAAACAACGAGAAAUAUGAGAGUGCUUCGAGGACUCUUUCAAUUUUAUAACUUGGGAAAUUUAGUAAAAAAUUUUGUGGAUGAUUUCUGGACAUUGAUUUUAAGUAUUUUUCAUGUCUUUUAUUUGUAGGAACUGGAUCUGCGUGGGUUGCUUCUAGAACUAAGCAUAAAAUACGAGUUUAUUGCUGGCCUGUUACAAACACUUGCAUGAAAAGAAUACACCGAAAGGCACAGGCAGGACCAAGCCUAGGAGCGAUGCAAAUGAGCAACUGGGGCCGCUGGGACUUUGACAUUUGUUCCACUAGUGUAUAGUCGAUACGAUGUAUCACUAAACCGUUUCGGUGUCGAUUUUUAUUUGAGCCACAUUACGUGACCUGUGUGGCCAAUAAUGAGACAGAGCGACGCACAUCCAGCACAGCACGCAGGAUCCAGCAGGCAGCACGCAAAACACUGAAUGCUAUUUGCUCAACAGUUUGUGCACAAACGAAGACAAAAUCAACGCUAAUUAACUCGUUUUGGAGCAUCAACUCGUGAGCACCCAGAACUCCAUUCAUUUGCGUGGAUCAUUCAGUCAGUUUUUGCCCGCUUAGCAUGCAGAGCACGGCGCAAGGCCCUGAACUGAGAAAAUGAACAACUGAAUGCGAACCAACUCGUUUCCGCGUAAAUUGCAUUUUAAAAUAAAUUAUAAUGAUUAUUAUGUUGCAAACAA
rnacentral:lncRNA from 1 species